rnacentral:rRNA from 1 species
GUCCAGACUCCUACGGGAGGCAGCAGUGGGGAAUAUUGCACAAUGGGGGAAACCCUGAUGCGGCGACGCCGCGUGAGCGAUGAAGUAUUUCGGUAUGUAAAGCUCUAUCAGCAGGGAAGAAGAUGACGGUACCUGACUAAGAAGCCCCGGCUAACUACGUGCCAGCAGCCGCGGUAAUACGUAGGGGGCAAGCGUUAUCCGGAUUUACUGGGUGUAAAGGGAGCGUAGACGGCGAUGCAAGCCAGAUGUGAAAGCCCGGGGCUCAACCCCGGGACUGCAUUUGGAACUGUUAAGCUGGAGUGUCGGAGAGGCAGGCGGAAUUCCUAGUGUAGCGGUGAAAUGCGUAGAUAUUAGGAGGAACACCAGUGGCGAAGGCGGCCUGCUGGACGAUAACUGACGUUGAGGCUCGAAAGCGUGGGGAGCAAACAGGAUUAGAUACCCUUGUA